rnacentral:lncRNA from 1 species
AGGAAGGUCAUCAGAAGAAGUUCUUAGCUGUGCCUCUCAGCAAACAUCAGCAAAGUCGAGAGCCCCAUAAGCUGUUGCAUAGUUAGUUCCACAACACGUGACUCGGCACCUGCAUCUAUCUCAGCUGACAUCACUCUGUCAAUGAGCCUGUCCUCGGAAGCUGCAAGUAGCUAUAGCACAGUACCAGAAGUUUUUUUUGGCAUUUCUCUCUAUGGAGUUCCAACAGAUGGAGCUCAGCUGCGCAAUGUAAGGUGGGCCAAUACAUAAAUGUCCUUAGCAAAGAAUCUUUCAUCAUGUGUCCUUUCAUGUGCUUGCUUUAGUAAAACAUCCUUUCACCUGUGUCUGCUUCAAUGAAAUGGUCCUUCAUAAGUCUGCCUUAGUCUUUCACCUGUGUCCACUUCAGGAAAACACUCCCUUACAUGUUUGCCCCAGCAAAACACCAUCCAACACAACCGACUUUCCAAAAAAACCCUUACAUUUCCACUUCAGUGCUGAGUGAGGAUGUGGGCAGGACCUAGGGGGAGCAGCCACACUUUGGGCUGCUGAGGAUGGGGUGGGGGGCAGCUUCUCACCUAUGCUGAGUAGGAAGCAGGAGGCAUCUGGAAUUUGCUCUGGCUGGAGUGCAGAGGGUGUAAGAUGCUCAACAGAUGGCACACCCUGAGCUGCUGGUGGUGAGUAGGCUAGGCGAGAAGACGCAAACAUACUUCGAAGCCUGAGGAUCUGCCUGCCGGUAACAUGGUGGCGCCAUCUUGGGAUGAGUCACGUACAUUCCGACAUGGAGGGGGUGAACAGUCUGCUGGUGUCAUGGGAGAGGGAGGAGUGGUGAAAUUUUCAGCUGCCAAGCUGGUGUUUGAAAUGGAAAUGGCCCAGCUGUGCAGAUGAUGAACCGAAGGAUGCUCCUGGUAGUUUCUUUUUAACGGCAUGAAGGCAGGUCAAACAACAGCAGGGCAUUUUAGCUCUUUCACAUGAGCUGGAGCAUGAGGAAGAUCUUGGCAACUAGUCCGAACUCUGCCUGCUAGCGGGCGGAGGUCCUUUGCAGCCUGCUGGGCAGGGUGUGGCUAGACUUCGGAAGUUUGUUUCUUGUAUGGGAGCUUUGCUCUUCUUCAGGAUGAACCGAACUGAAUAAAAGCAGGAAGCGUGUAGGUGAUUUGACUUCUCAUUCAACAGACCUAGUAGUACCCAGGUAAUGGCAAGCAAGCAUACCCCUCCGGCCUUGAGGAUGGGGUGCCCUUAGUCACCUUCAAAGUACAGGGGUGUGGGCAGUGGACCUAUGCUGUCAGUGUGCAGUGCUAAAGUUUACUCCAUGUGUGUUCUCUGCACAAGUCCACAUACGUGUGGGUCUAUACGUGUUUAGUGUGCACACGUGCAAAUAUGAGUGCAUCUGUAUUAGUAUAUGUGUGUUGUGUGUAUGGCUGUUGACAGCAAUUCCUGCUUCAACUCACCACUCCAAGGAGGAACACAUGCCUGGGUUUCCUCUCCAUAUUGCUCAGGAGUUCAGGCCCAGCUAAAGACAGGCACACCUUGACCCUGACACUGGUAAGGAGCAGGAGGAAAUGGGUGAGUAGCAUCUACUACAGGAAUAGUCUCACCCAUGGUGGAAAGGAGGUGAGGCUGAGGUAGUUUCUUUAAGAGCCCAGGGAAAUUCAGAGGAUAAGAUUCUCUUAGGAACGCUUGGCUCAUCCAAGGAAGAGACUGGCCCUCAGGAGUUUGUGACUUGCACAGGGUGUUGUGGGAUCACUGGGCUCUGGAAUAAGCUGUCACUGAUGCUAGUGCCUGACCUAGCUCCAAUGGACAAGGAGCUCUGCUGACUGGCAGCACUUUCUACCCAAGGCCUGUGCCAUUUUGUGCAGAGAAUCCUGCAUGAGACCAAGGGUGCUGAGGGGACUUCUGCAUAUAGUGACCGGAGAAACUUCUGGC